CAAAACCUCCUCCCUGAUUGGUCAGUCCUCAGACAACUGGUCAGCCGCCCCCUAAUUGCCAUCAUGUUUCACAUGUGACCAGUGUGACUGGGCCAAUUUCAACCAGAGGCGUGCUGCAUUGGUGAUCCCCACAGAGCCUACAGAACAGCUGUUUGCUCUAAGUCUGAAGAGCCCCACGCUGUAGGAGUGAAAAGUAGAGCAGUGUCUGGAGGGUGGAGGAAGGGGAGCCCUCCGUGAAUUCUAGCCUUCUUUGGCUGUCCCUGAAGAGCUUUCUUCCAAAGAACCGAAGCCCAGCCUGAAACACCAGGUCUGAUGGGUACAGGACAGUGGGAUCAGAAACCUCCUCUUUCACCCUAAUCCUCCUGGCUGUGUGUCCGUGUGAAGAGAAUUUUCCAGACUAAGCAACAACAGCAGGAUCUUACUUCCUAUUCUGAAGCCUCAGAGUUCUAGAGAUCGGAAGUCCAAAAUCUGUCUCAGUGGGCUAACACCGAGAUGUCAGUGGUGCCCUGUCCCUGCAGUCUGCUCCCACAGUCUUAUGUAAAUAAGAACAGAUCAGCAAGAUUGUUACUAUCAUUAUCUCCAUUUCACAGAUGGGAAAGAAAGAGAGAACAAGUCACUUGUCCAAAGUCAUGUCAUUGCCUUGAAAGUGGCCUCUGAAGAUUCACCAAGCUUAUCAGGGACUUCAGGAACCAAGGGGAAUUGUUUACCUGUGGCUGCAACAGUGACCUCACCAUGGCAGCAAUUUUCAGGAUUACACCUUUCCAUGGAUCUCAGCCAUGGGGAUCAAGAGAACCACUGGGGAAGGGAAAGGGACAUAAUUCGAGGCACCCCGACCUAUCACUAGGUCACUAAAAUACACACCACAUGCUCCAGCAUAUAGGAACACCCACACAAAAAUGAGAGCAAAAAUUUUGUUUGAAAGAAUUUGCUAUCCCCCUCCCAACAAAAGUAGAGAGAUUGUCAUUUAAAGAAAAAAUUAAUUUAUAAUUUAUACUGUUUCAGUGUUGACUUAUAAUGGGGAUAGCAUAAUUUUUUUAAUUUGUAAUUUAAAAUUUUGAAAUGGAAGACUCUGAAAUUUUUGAAUAUUUUUUAAACCAAUUAAGCCCUCAGCAAAAGCCCACAGAAGGUACAAAGAGUUCCAGCGUAGACUUUGCCCCUAUACUCACAUGACCUCCCCAUUAUCAGCAUCUGCACCUGAAUGGUACCCUUGUUACAAUCAGUGGACCUACACUGAUACAUUAUCGGCCAAAGUCUAUAGCUUACAUUAGGAUUCACACUUGGACAUUCUGUUGGUUUAGAUAAAUAUAGAAUAACAUAUACCCACUAUUAUAGUAUCAUACAGAGGAGUUUCUUUGCCCUAAAAACCCUGUUCUUCACCUAUUUAUUCCUCCCUGCUCCCAACCUCUGGCACCUACUGAUCUUUUUACUGUCUCCACAGUUUUGCCUUUCCCACAAUGUCCAAUAACUAGACUCAUGCAGUACCCUUUACAGAUUGGCUUCCUUCACUUAGUAAUUUACAUUUAAGAUUCCUCCAUGUCUUUUUAUUGCUUGAUAGUGAAGAGGAGGAAGAAAUUUUCCUUUGUCCAAGGUUCUUUUAGGUAGGAGAAAGAACUAAAUUUACAUGACACAGAUUAACAGCGGGGAAAAAAUGAAAUUUUAUUGCACGUGCAUAGAGGCCCAAUAAUGAAAUUGAGACCCAAAGAAAUGAUCAAGACAGGCGGUUUUUAUACUUCAUAAACAAAGAGACAAUAAAUUCUGGGGAAUUUACAGGAUAAGGAAAAACAUUUGGGUUGAGCUAAUAGAUUAGUAAAAAGUAACAAAGUUUGUUUCUACAGCUUUCUCAGCUUUAAAGUUCCUAUCUCUGGUGAUAAGGAUAUUUUUUUUUUUACUUAGUACAGAGAGGUUACCUUCAUAUGGGUGAUUUAUUUCCUACUUUCAGGGGGACAGAGGAGGAUGUGAGUGUCCUUGAACCUGUUGUUUCCCAAGUAGCUUCAACUCAAAAUAAUCAGUUGCCAUUGUGGUGUGUUUGGGUGGAAUGCCCUUAGCCUGGACAACAACUCAUUUCUCUUUAGUGUUGGAUAAUAUUUUAUUGUCUGGAUGUACCACUCUUUAUCUGUUCACCUACUGAAGACUAUCUUGGUUGGUGCCAAGUUUUGGCAAUUAUGAAUAAACAUUUGUGUGCCAGUU